GCGGAUAUGGCGUAAUUGGUAGCCGCGCCAGACUUAGGAUCUGGUGCCUCACGGCGUGGGGGUUCGAGUCCCUUUAUCCGCACGA
rnacentral:tRNA from 3 species